GUGGGGAAUCUUAGACAAUGGGGGAAACCCUGAUCUAGCCAUGCCGCGUGAUCGAUGAAGGCCUUAGGGUUGUAAAGAUCUUUCAGGUGGGAAGAUAAUGACUGUACCACCAGAAGAAGCCCCGGCUAACUCCGUGCCAGCAGCCGCGGUAAUACGGAGGGGGCUAGCGUUGUUCGGAAUUACUGGGCGUAAAGCGCACGUAGGCGGAUUGGAAAGUUGGGGGUGAAAUCCCGGGGCUCAACCCCGGAACUGCCUUCAAAACUCCCAGUCUUGAGUUCGAGAGAGGUGAGUGGAAUUCCGAGUGUAGAGGUGAAAUUCGUAGAUAUCGGGAGGAACACCAGUGGCGAAGGCGGCUUCCUGGCACAAUACUGACGCUCAUGUGCGAAAGCUAGGGCAGCGAACGGGAUUAGAAACCCCAGUAGUCC
rnacentral:rRNA from 1 species